rnacentral:lncRNA from 1 species
CUCAGGUUUUGCCAGUGGGCCAAGAUGGGCACCUUUAGAGGAACUGGAGUGAGCCAUCUUGACUUCCUUCCUUCUCCUUGAACACAUCUGGUAUAGCAGCUGUUUCCCCUGCAGGAAGGUUCUUCAUACAGGUGCAGUAUGGCUCGGGUCAGGGGAAGGAUUUAAGCUGUCAUGUGCUCUCCCUGGAAGAUGGUCCAUGGCAACAGGCUGGAGUUAAAUGUUACUCACCCAGUUUUCUCUUCUUUUAUGUGGAAUUAAAACUCCC